AUUGAACGCUGGCGGCAGGCCUAACACAUGCAAGUCGAACGAGGGGCGGACGGGUGCGUAAUGUAUGGGGACUGCCCGAUAGAGGGGGAUAACUACAGGAAACGGUGUCUAAUACCGGAGACUAUCGGAUAACGCUUAUUGGAUGAGCUCGUAGGUAAGGUAAUGGCUUACCUAGGCGACGAUCCCUAGCUGGGCUGAGAGGAUGAUCAGCCACACUGGGACUGAGACACGGCCCAGACUCCUACGGAGGCAGCAGUGGGGAAGAUUGCACAAUGGGCGAAAGUCUGAUACAGCCAUACCGCGUGUAUGAAGAAGGCCCUAGGGUUGUAAAGUACUUUCAGUCGGGAGGCGUUACCGACCGAAGAAGCACCGGCUAACUCCGUGCCAGCAGCCGCGGUAAUAC
rnacentral:rRNA from 1 species